UACGUAGGUGGCGAGCGUUGUCCGGAUUUACUGGGCGUAAAGAGCGCGCAGGCGGUCGUUCAAGUCGCGUGUGAAAGCCCCCGGCUCAACUGGGGAGGGUCACGCGAUACUGAUCGACUCGAAGGCAGGAGAGGGAAGUGGAAUUCCCGGUGUAGUGGUGAAAUGCGUAGAUAUCGGGAGGAACACCAGUGGCGAAGGCGACUACCUGGCCUGUUUCUUGACGCUGAGGCGCGAAAGCUAGGGGAGCAAACGGG
rnacentral:rRNA from 1 species